AACGAACGCUGGCGGCAUGCCUAACACAUGCAAGUCGAACGAGACCUUCGGGUCUAGUGGCGCACGGGUGCGUAACGCGUGGGAAUCUGCCCUUGGGUUCGGAAUAACAGUUAGAAAUGACUGCUAAUACCGGAUAAUGUCUUCGGACCAAAGAUUUAUCGCCCAGGGAUGAGCCCGCGUAGGAUUAGCUAGUUGGUGAGGUAAAGGCUCACCAAGGCGACGAUCCUUAGCUGGUCUGAGAGGAUGAUCAGCCACACUGGGACUGAGACACGGCCCAGACUCCUACGGGAGGCAGCAGUGGGAAUAUUGGACAAUGGGCGAAAGCCUGAUCCAGCAAUGCCGCGUGAGUGAUGAAGGCCUUAGGGUUGUAAAGCUCUUUUGGCGGGGAAGAUAAUGACGGUACCCACAGAAUAAGCUCCGGCUAACUUCGUGCCAGCAGCCGCGGUAAU
rnacentral:rRNA from 1 species